rnacentral:lncRNA from 1 species
ACAGUUGAUCAACAAGACAUAUUCACUUUGACCACAGCCACCCGCACUUGCCUACCCGACUGGCUAUUUUAGCUAUUCUCUCUUCAACCUUCCUCUAUCCUAAAAUAGUCGUACCGCUCCCCCUUUAGAGAUAGAUUUAUUUAUUCUCUAAGCUAGCUAAACGCCCGAAACAUAAUAAGCUAAGCCUCCGUCGAUUUAGCCAAAGCAGGCCUGGAGAAAAUAAUGGGAGUCAGUGUCCCUUAAACGCCUUGUUUCCUCUUCUUUACGGUGGCUUCUUCUUAAAUGAAAGAAGAUCUCUGCUGCGCUUAUGCCUUAAAACCCUAAAACUGUGGUUAUUAUGACACCAGGUGAAAUAGCUGCUUUUUCUUCUCUUCCUCCCCUCGACCUAUUGAAGUUGCGCUCACCCGCAGCCCUAAGCCCUACAGUUCCUUCGCUUACCGCCUAAUCUUAAUCUAUUGCCCUGCCUCCAAGAGAAGAAAUGGCACCAACCGAUACAAUGGCAGCUAGUUCCAGGGAAGCUGCUAUCAGGAACGGGCCCCAUCCUAGUUUGGCAACAUCAUGCU